rnacentral:lncRNA from 1 species
GGGAAAUCUCUUAAUGUGACUCCAUAUAAUUUUUACAAUUAGUGUAUUUAGUACUUAAAUUAUAUCCAAUUCUUCUUUAGCUAGUGCCUUUGAAAAUUGCCAAUGAUCCUUUUCUUUAAGCCAAAUUCAUAAUUUCAAAGACACUGUAAUUAACAGUAAUAAGUGAGAAUACAGCGAUAAAUUUCAGUUUUAGCUUUCAAUCAAAUUAAUCCACAUGUGAAAUUUACAUAUGAAAUCAAAAGGUUAUGAUAGUGUUGAUUUAAACCAGAAACAAAUUGUAUUUCUAUUCCAGCUUAAUUUGAACCUGCACAAUUAUUUUUUCUUUCUUUCUUCAGGUAUGGAAUGGGCACAUGCCUUUGUUGUACAAGAGGCACAGGCCUAGAGAAGAAUAAAU